CGUGGGAUGUUGGUACCAAAGACAGACUCGUUGUAAGGAACUUCAAAGUCUGGGACCUCAGUAAAUGUACAAUAAUUCUCCAGGCAUCACUGGUUAAGGAUCCAGCUGUGUGAGUUAAUCGCAUAAUAUGGAGUCCUGAUGGAACCUUGUUUGGUGUUGCUUAUUCAAGGCAUAUUGUACAAAUUUAUUCCUAUAAUGGUGGCGACGAUAUUAGACAACACUUGGAGGUUUGACUGCAUGUUUCUUAAUUCUUUCUACCUC